ACCGCGCUUACCACGGUCCUGAAAGCACUGGUCUCCAGCAUGGCGGUGCCCAUGUCAAUUACGCCGGCAGCUUUGCUGGGGGACAAGCUUUGCUUUUACCCAUCCAGCAAUAACAACACUGUGCUUGCAUCCCUCCCACCCUUCUCGGAAGAAGACCUCAUCUCUCCUGGAUCCAGGAAUUCUAUCGAUCCAUGGCAGAAGACCUGACCGAAUACGGUAAAGGACCUCGGUGGGUUCCAGUAAAGAACAUCAAGCCAUAUCUGCAGCCUCUACAAGAACACCAAGAUUUUCUACGGGAGGAACCCCAGGAAGAACCUACAGAAAAGACACCUUGAGGCUUGCGAAUAGCCAUCCCUCUCCUCCUACCUACUGCUGAUUAAUGCCACUGUUUUUUUAACUCCUUAAGCAUUAUUAAUUUUUGAGGUUAAUCCACAGGUUGUUCCACCAGACAUGACUCCUAAAGGACUCCUGCUUGCUAUACCCAUCCUGAUUGAUGCUUGUGGUAUUCACGUGCCCUCUGAACAGAGAGAAGCUGAGAGACAAGCAGAGAAGAAGGAAAAUCAUAAUUCUUAUCUCGCUUGCUGUGCCAAAGUAGAAUGCAAUAUGGAGAUGGUUUACCCAAAGUGAGGAUGUUUUGUUCCCUUGGCCUAUCAGGGCCAAGAGUGUGUCUGUGUCGGGACUGUCUGCUGACAGUCACGAGACAGGAGAGAAUCGAGGAUGAGUGCAGUUCUGUGCAGUUGUGAGCAAGGGUGAGUGCAAGGCAGAUUCAGUUUAGAUAUAAUGUAUAUAAUAUAGCAUAAUAAAGUAAUUAUUUAGCCUUCUGAUAA